rnacentral:rRNA from 1 species
AUGGGGAGAAGACAUUGUGUCUUCGAGUCGUUGAUUUCACACUGCCGAGAAAAGCCUCUAGAUAGAAAAUAGGUGCCCGUACCGCAAACCGACACAGGUAGUCAAGAUGAGAAUUCUAAGGUGAGCGAGCGAACUCUCGUUAAGGAACUCGGCAAAAUGACCCCGUAACUUCGGGAGAAGGGGUGCUCUUUAGGGUUAACGCCCAGAAGAGCCGCAGUGAAUAGGCCCAAGCGACUGUUUAUCAAAAACACAGGUCUCUGCUAAACCGUAAGGUGAUGUAUAGGGGCUGACGCCUGCCCGGUGCUGGAAGGUUAAGAGGAGUGGUUAGCUUCUGCGAAGCUACGAAUCGAAGCCCCAGUAAACGGCGGCCGUAACUAUAACGGUCCUAAGGUAGCGAAAUUCCUUGUCGGGUAAGUUCCGACCCGCACGAAAGGCGUAACGAUUUGGGCACUGUCUCAACGAGAGACUCGGUGAAAUCAUAGUACCUGUGAAGAUGCAGGUUACCCGCGACAGGACGGAAAGACCCCGUGGAGCUUUACUGUAGCCUGAUAUUGAAAUUCGGCACAGCUUGUACAGGAUAGGUAGGAGCCUUUGAAACGUGAGCGCUAGCUUACGUGGAGGCGCUGGUGGGAUACUACCCUAGCUGUGUUGGCUUUCUAACCCGCACCACUUAUCGUGGUGGGAGACAGUGUCAGGCGGGCAGUUUGACUGGGGCGGUCGCCUCCUAAAAGGUAACGGAGGCGCUCAAAGGUUCCCUCAGAAUGGUUGGAAAUCAUUCAUAGAGUGUAAAGGCAUAAGGGAGCUUGACUGCGAGACCUACAAGUCGAG